rnacentral:misc_RNA from 1 species
AAGUCGUAACAAGGUUUCCGUAGGUGAACCUGCGGAAGGAUCAUUAGAGAUUGGCCUAACGGCCGUGUCUUCAUCCACACACACCGUGAACCGUUCUGGGAGCUCCUCUGUGGGCUGCCGGACAACACACCACAAACGAGAUGUAAUGAAUGUCAAAUUGUCGUAACAAAACAAAACUUUCAACAACGGAUCUCUUGGCUCUC